rnacentral:rRNA from 1 species
UACAGAGGGUGCAAGCGUUAAUCGGAAUUACUGGGCGUAAAGCGCGCGUAGGCGGUUUGUUAAGUUGGAUGUGAAAGCCCCGGGCUUAACCUGGGAGGGUCAUUCAAAACUGGCAGACUAGAGUGUGGUAGAGGGUAGUGGAACUCCUAGUGUAGCGGUGAAAUGCGUAGAGAUUAGGAAGAACACCAGUGGCGAAGGCGACUGCCUGGACCAACACUGACGCUGAGGUGCGAAAGCGUGGGUAGCGAACAGG